rnacentral:rRNA from 1 species
GAUGAACGCUAGCUACAGGCUUAACACAUGCAAGUUGAGCGACCGGCGCACGGGUGCGUAACAGGUAUCCAACCUGCCCUUUACUCGGGGAUAGACUUUUGAAAGAAAGAUUAAUACCCGAUAUAAAGGAUGGGGCUGCUUUCCAUUAGUUUGUUGGUGAGGAAACGGCACACCAAGCCUUCGCUGGGUAGGGGUUCUGAGAGGAAGGUCCCCCACAUUGGAACUGGGACACGGUCCAAACUCCGACGGGAGGCAGCAGUGAGGAAUAUUGGUCAAUGGGCGCUAGCCUGAACCAGCCAAGUAGCUUGAAGGAUGAAGGCUUAUGGGUCGUAAACUUCUUUUAUAUAAGAAUAUGUAUUAUAUGAAUAAGGAUCGGCUAACUACGUGCCAGCAGCCGCGGUAAUAC